rnacentral:rRNA from 1 species
GACGAACGCUGGCGGCGUGCUUAACACAUGCAAGUCGAACGGAAAGGCCCUGCUUUUGUGGGGUGCUCGAGUGGCGAACGGGUGAGUAACACGUGAGUAACCUGCCCUUGACUUUGGGAUAACUUCAGGAAACUGGGGCUAAUACCGGAUAGGAGCUCCUGCUGCAUGGUGGGGGUUGGAAAGUUUCGGCGGUUGGGGAUGGACUCGCGGCUUAUCAGCUUGUUGGUGGGGUAGUGGCUUACCAAGGCUUUGACGGGUAGCCGGCCUGAGAGGGUGACCGGCCACAUUGGGACUGAGAGACGGCCCAGACUCCUACGGGAGGCAGCAGUGGGGAAUAUUGCACAAUGGGCGGAAGCCUGAUGCAGCGACGCCGCGUGCGGGAUGACGGCCUUCGGGUUGUAAACCGCUUUCGCCUGUGACGAAGCGUGAGUGACGGUAAUGGGUAAAGAAGCACCGGCUAACUACGUG